UCUUCCUUCUCUUUCUUCUUGGCCGUAACUCUCCCCCUCUUUGCCCUAACCAUCACAAAUUUUCAUUCUCCACCAUUUUAACUCAUCUCAAGCUUUUUGGAUCCAUAGGAUUGCAAGGGUCUCUUCUCUAAGGAAGCGAGAAAGCGUAGAAUAGUGCGAGAAAGUAUUUGUUUGGAAGCUUGCCGAGACGAUGGAGCUGUUCGUGAUGUCGUUGGUCGUGAGGACGGCGAGGACUGUUGAGUACCCCGGAGUGUAGUUUUAGCAGUCGUUGUUUAGACUGUAUUUUGACUAGGCUUAGUGUCUAGAUUACUCUUGGAUGACUGUAUAUAUUACUUUUACUCAGACUGAUGUAUGCCUUGUUGGCUUUGUGAUAUAUUCGGUUCAUGAGACUUGUUUGUUAGGUUCAUGAACUUGAUGUAUCCUUUUGGGUGAUGUAAAUUAUUCAGGUACACACUUGCUUCGCGGAAGCCUUUUAUACAAUG